rnacentral:rRNA from 1 species
UGGGGAAUAUUGCACAAUGGGCGAAAGCCUGAUGCAGCGACGCCGCGUGAGCGAAGAAGUAUUUCGGUAUGUAAAGCUCUAUCAGCAGGGAAGAAAAAUGACGGUACCUGACUAAGAAGCCCCGGCUAACUACGUGCC